UCAGAGAGAGAGGGAGCGAGUGAAGGGUGGAGGGGAGGAAUGAUAACUACAGAGGAGGCGAAGGGGGAAGAGGAGGAGGAGAGGAAGAGGAGAGCGGGAUUAUGGAGGACCUGAGCCCUAGGACCAUGCGUCAGGACUACCUGGCAUGAUGACUCCUUGCUGUCCCCAGUCCACCUGGCCUUGCUGUUGCUCCAGUUUCAACUGUUCUGUCCUGACCUGUUCACCGGACGUGCUAAAAAAGCCAACUGACAUUUACUCCUGAGGUGCUGACUUGCUGCAUCCUCGAUAACUACUGUGAUUAUUAUUAUUUGACCAUGCUGGUCAUUUAUGAACAUUUGAACAUCUUGGCCAUGUUCUGUUAUAAUCUACACCCGGCACAGCCAGAAGAGGACUGGCCACCCCUCAUAGCCUAGUUCCUCUCUAAGUUUCUUCCUAGGUUUUGGCCUUUCUAGGGAGUGUUUCCUAGCCACCGUGCUUCUACACCUGCAUUGCUUGCUGUUUGGGGUUUUAGACUGGGUUUCUGUACAGCACUUUGAGAUAUCAGCUGAUGUACGAAGGGCUAUAUAAAUACAUUUGAUUUGAUUUGAUUAAAAUACUGGCUCUAUGAAAAUUAGCUGUA